rnacentral:rRNA from 1 species
GGUAGUCCACGCCGUAAACGAUGAGUGCUAAGUGUUGGAGGGUUUCCGCCCUUCAGUGCUGCAGCAAACGCAUUAAGCACUCCGCCUGGGGAGUACGACCGCAAGGUUGAAACUCAAAGGAAUUGACGGGGGCCCGCACAAGCGGUGGAGCAUGUGGUUUAAUUCGAAGCAACGCGAAGAACCUUACCAGGUCUUGACAUCCUUUGACCACUCUAGAGAUAGAGCUUUCCCUUCGGGGACAAAGUGACAGGUGGUGCAUGGUUGUCGUCAGCUCGUGUCGUGAGAUGUUGGGUUAAGUCCCGCAACGAGCGCAACCCUUAUUGUUAGUUGCCAUCAUUUAGUUGGGCACUCUAGCGAGACUGCCGGUGACAAACCGGAGGAAGGUGGGGAUGACGUCAAAUCAUCAUGCCCCUUAUGACCUGGGCUACACACGUGCUACAAUGGGAAGUACAACGAGUCGCUAGACCGCGAGGUCAUGCAAAUCUCUUAAAGCUUCUCUCAGUUCGGAUUGCAGGCUGCAACUCGCCUGCAUGAAGCCGGAAUCGCUAGUAAUCGCGGAUCAGCACGCCGCGGUGAAUACGUUCCCGGGCCUUGUACACACCGCCCGUCACACCACGAGAGUUUGUAACACCCGAAGUCGGUGAGGUAACCUUUUUGGAGCCAGCCGCCUAAGGUGGGAUAGAUGAUUGGGGUGAAGUCGUAACAAGGUAACC